UACGUAGGGUGCAAGCGUUGUCCGGAAUUAUUGGGCGUAAAAGAGCUCGUAGGCGGCUUUGUCACGUCGACUGUGAAACCCGGGGCUCAACUCCGGGCCUGCAGUCGAUACGGGCUGGCUUGAGUGCGGUAGGGGAGACUGGAAUUCCUGGUGUAGCGGUGAAAUGCGCAGAUAUCAGGAGGAACACCGGUGGCGAAGGCGGGUCUCUGGGCCGUAACUGACGCUGAGGAGCGAAAGCGUGGGGAGCGAACAGG
rnacentral:rRNA from 1 species